rnacentral:rRNA from 1 species
UACGUAGGGUACAAGCGUUGUCCGGAAUUAUUGGGCGUAAAGAGCUCGUAGGCGGUCUGUCGCGUCUGCUGUGAAAACUCAGGGCUUAACCCUGAGCUUGCAGUGGGUACGGGCAGACUAGAGUGCGGUAGGGGAGACUGGAAUUCCUGGUGUAGCGGUGAAAUGCGCAGAUAUCAGGAGGAACACCGAUGGCGAAGGCAGGUCUCUGGGCAUUAACUGACGCUGAGGAGCGAAAGCAUGGGGAGCGAACAGG